rnacentral:lncRNA from 1 species
GGAAAGGAGGGCCAAGUAGAGCCUCCACGACCCUCGGCUUCCUCCUCACCAGCUCCCCCUCCCUCCAAGUCCAGUAAGAAGUUGGGCCAAGCUGGAAGGGAUUGACCGGGUUGCUUGUCUGGAGAUGGAGCCACUACAGGCGGGCCUGGGCGCCUGGAGUCGGGCAUGAAAGAAAAUAGCGCCUCAUCGCUCUUAUCUAAGCCCAGAGGUAGACUUCGCUUGAAAAGAUCGAGAAUGGAGGAGGGGAUCGGCACUCACUUGCAGACAUCAACAGUUUCCAGAAAAUUCGGUUCAAUUCCUUCACCACGGACCCACCAACCAAGGAGCUGGCAAAACCCACUAACCAACCAGGAGAACACAGACCCGGUUUGUCUUUUGACAACCGAGUGGAACUGACGGGGCCGGCGCCUGCCCUGCGGGUCCCCUCCCUUGGCUGAGAAGAAAACCAAAUAAACCUUGAACAGCCUUGGC